rnacentral:rRNA from 1 species
AUGAACGCUGGCGGCGUGCCUAACACAUGCCAGUCGAACGAAGCACCUUACCUGAUUCUUCGGAUGAAAGUUUGGUGACUGAGUGGCGGACGGGUGAGUAACGCGUGGGUAACCUGCCCUGUACAGGGGGAUAACAGCUGGAAACGGCUGCUAAUACCGCAUAAGCGCACGAGGAGACAUCUCCUUGUGUGAAAAACUCCGGUGGUACAGGAUGGGCCCGCGUCUGAUUAGCUGGUUGGCAGGGUAACGGCCUACCAAGGCAACGAUCAGUAGCCGGUCUGAGAGGAUGAACGGCCACAUUGGAACUGAGACACGGUCCAAACUCCUACGGGAGGCAGCAGUGGGGAAUAUUGCACAAUGGGGGAAACCCUGAUGCAGCAACGCCGCGUGAGUGAAGAAGUAUUUCGGUAUGUAAAGCUCUAUCAGCAGGGAAGAUAAUGACGGUACCUGACUAAGAAGCUCCGGCUAAAUACGUG